UGGGGAAUAUUGCACAAUGGGCGCAAGCCUGAUGCAGCCAUGCCGCGUGUGUGAAGAAGGCCUUCGGGUUGUAAAGCACUUUCAGCGAGGAGGAAGGUGGUGAACUUAAUACGUUCAUCAAUUGACGUUACUCGCAGAAGAAGCACCGGCUAACUCCGUGCCAGCAGCCGCGGUAAUACGGAGGGUGCAAGCGUUAAUCGGAAUUACUGGGCGUAAAGCGCACGCAGGCGGUUUGUUAAGUCAGAUGUGAAAUCCCCGGGCUCAACCUGGGAACUGCAUUUGAAACUGGCAAGCUAGAGUCUCGUAGAGGGGGGUAGAAUUCCAGGUGUAGCGGUGAAAUGCGUAGAGAUCUGGAGGAAUACCGGUGGCGAAGGCGGCCCCCUGGACGAAGACUGACGCUCAGGUGCGAAAAGCGUGGGGAGCAAAACAGGAUUAGAUACCCUGGUAGUCCACGCUGUAAAACGAUGUCGAUUUUGGAGGUUGUGCCCCUUGAGGCGUGGCUUCCGGAGCUAACGCGUUAAAUCGACCGCCUGGGGAGUACGGCCGCAAGGUUAAAACUC
rnacentral:rRNA from 1 species